GGUGAAAGCUGGGGGCAUUUUUCUGCUGAUUUGGAACUGUACAGGAUCAUGGAAUGCAGCCCCACUAUUUUUAUUUUACUCACAUGGAAGACUUCUGUCAGGCACACAGAUGAGCACAGGUGAUUUUGGCUAAGGAUGCUUCAACAAUAAGAGCUUGAAAUAGCAGCCAGGAUGUUGGCUGCUGAUGUGGUCUGAGAGUGGCCAGUACAGGUGCUUCCAGCAGCUCUUUCAGAGGACCCCAGGGCUUGCCAAGCCUGCACGUCUGCACAGAAGGGUGCAAAAGUGGCGAGAACCAUCCAAAAGAAGAGACAGCAUAAAACCAAG